AAUGUUGAGCUUAAGGCCUGUGACGUAGCACAAGCAGAACGCAGGCUUCGUGGAAGUGGGAUUACCGGUGAGCCCAGUCGCGUGCUGGCCUGGCGCAGGAAGGCUGAGAGGGAGAACGAGUGAGGGGAAAAAAGCACCAGAAAUAUUGGGUCAGAUAUUCCCUCAGGAUUGCUUAUCAGUUCUGGGAACUGAAAAAGCUUGGAGGUUUUUUUUUUCCGGCCCCUCAAAACACCAGCACUUAGAACAGUCGCUUCAGUGAGGACAGCAAGUGUAACAUCAAGGCAAGAGCACUGUUAGUUAACCUGCAUAGUUACACUGCAAGUUGGCUUUUCACAGUUGUCUAAGAAGUAAUGUCUGCACCUUCAGCAUAAGCCUUGAGUGUUUUACAGUUGGAAUACCGCACUCAGGUUUUCUACUUGGCUUCCCAGAGACCUGCAGUCCCGCCACUGUCCUUCACUCAUCAGGAUUUCAGAAGAUUCCCUGCCAUCACACAGACGUGUUGGACUGCAGACCACAAGGCCGGAAAUGAGUCCUUCUGUCAAAGCAUAUUUGAUGUAGUCUCAAAAUAAGAUGCACCCUUCUGAGUGCUGGGAAUAAUCAUAAUGAAGGAGUGGCUGACACAGUGAAAGGCAGAUCCUCAGUCCAGAGAGACCUCUCUAAAUGCAAAGAGUGGACUACCAGGAUGCUCACAAAGCCCAGCAAUUAGGAGUGCCAGUGAUACCUGGUACACCAGGGUGAGCAAGGGAUAACCCUGAGCAUCAGUCCAGGCUGGGAAGUGACUGGUGGAGCUGCUGGAUAGAACUUGGAGAGUUUCCUGGAUGUUACUUGAAACAGGAUAAUCACUUACUCAUGUGCAACCAACGACCACAUGGAAGCCGCUCACAAAAGAAGCCGCAGCCUUUGCUAACAAAAGAACUCCUUUCUGUUUUAUUUUUCCAACCAAAGUUCCCAAAACAAAGUCAUUAAAUUUCUCCCUUUUUUCAGA